rnacentral:rRNA from 1 species
CCCUUAGAUGUUCUGGGCUGCACGCGCGCUACACUGACACACUCAGCGAGUCUCCUGGCCCGAGAGGGUUGGGUAAUCAUGUGAGCGUGUGUCGUGAUGGGGAUAGAAUAUUGUAAUUAUUGCUCUUCAACGAGGAAUUCCUAGUAAGCGCGAGUCAGCAGCUCGCGCUGAUUACGUCCCUGCCCUUUGUACACACCGCCCGUCGCUCCUACCGAUUGAAUGGUCCGGUGAAGCCUCCGGAUUGGCGCGCACCUCGGUGCCGCCGAGAAGUUGGCUAAACCUUACCAUUUAGAGGAAGGUGAAGUCGUANCA